UGAGGGAGACAAAGGCGGUCGGGCGUGAUACUGUUAGCUUGCCCCAACAGUCUGUUAAGGCUGCAUGGGGGACUUUUGCCUUGCUCACAGUUGCAUGCGCCUGUGCGCGUGCGCUUUUGAUUUGAAAAAUCACGGCAAUAGAUUAGCUCACUCCGACAGCACGUGUUUAUUUAUAUCUAGCACCGUAAUGAGAUUUACUUUCCUUACUCGGUGUGCUUGUUAUUUACGCCAAUAUUGUCAUAUAAUUAUACUGUAUAACAAUUAUGUUUUGUUCCUUGGUAGUUGGUGAUAUUUCCUAAUUGCUUAUGCCUCAAAAGGACAGAAAAUGGCCAUUAUUCCCCACCAACUUUGCUUUUGUGACCAGGACAGUGAUAUUUUGAAAUGUACCUAUUUUCCAGAACAUUCCAGAUAGAUUCAGUGCUGAGUAAAUUUGGAGUAACUUCUAGAAGGUUCUAGAACUUUCCAGUAAUAUAAAUACAGGCGCCUUAAGCCCACCAGCUCAGUUUAGUUCCAGCUGCCGAAGUGGAUACAUAUCUGCAUUUUUCUUGAGAUGGUAUCAGGAGGCUGCAAGCAUCCGGCAGACACAUUUUGCUAUGUCUGCAGCCAAUUUACCAAGACAAGAGUGAAAAAGUACUCUGUGGAAGCAUCUGCUAAGAUGUGUGAGGCCUACAAGGUAUAUUUCGGCAUGCCUGUCGGGGAUCAAGACAAACUCUGGGCACCUCAUUUCACCUGCGAGCCAUGCAAAAACACUCUGGAAGGAUGGUACAGAGGGGAAAAGAUAACCAUGAAGUUCGCUAUCUCAAGAAUUUGGCGGCAACCCACUGACCACUCAAGCAACUCCCACUUGUGCAUGGUGGACCCUUCCAAACGUCGGACUGGCAAGAAUGCACCUGCUUUCACGUAUGCGGACCUUCCUUCAUCCAUCGCCCCGGUGUCACACUGCCCAUGAGCUCCUUGUACCCACUACUCUGGAGAGAGAGCAGCCGUCUUUAGAAGAGAGCGGCAAGUCAGAGAGCGAGGAAGACGUUGUAGAUCCAGGUUACAAUUUCAGAGGUGGAGCUGAGGAGAGAUACUCGUACUACCCCAACCAAAAAGAUCUCAACGACUUGAUCAGAGAUCUUGGUCUCACCAAGUCCAAUGCCAAUCUUUCGACGUCUAGGCUCAAGCAGUGGAACUUGUGGGAUGAAAGUGUGCAAGUCACAGAUCAGAGGGAGCAUCACCAAUCUUUUUGCAGCUUCUUCACCCGUCAAGAUGGGCUCUGCUUCUGCCACAAUGUGACCAGUCUGUUCGAGGCAAUCGGAAUCGCCUGUAACCAGAAUGAAUGACGCCUCUUCAUUGACAGCUCAUCCAGGAGCCUCAAAGCCAUACUGCUCCAUAAUUGUAAAAAGUGCUCAUCUCUUCCCCUGGCUCACUCGGUGCACCUCAAAGAGGAUUACAACAGCAUCAAUACCUUGAUGGACGCCUUGAAGUAUGAUGAGUAUGGCUGGGAGGUCAUCCGAGACUUCAAAAUGGUGGCAUGCCUGAUGGCUCUGCAAGGCGGUUUUACCAAAUUUCCUUGCUAUCUUUGCCUUUGGGACAGCAGGGACACCAAACGCGCACUACCACAGGUGGGACUGGCCAUAGUGGACCGAGUUCUCUAUUGGGAGGAACAACGUCAAGUGGCAGCCACUGGUGGACCCCGGAAGGUGCUGAUGCCACCACUGCACAUCAAAUU